GACGUGCGCAGCGGUAUGUAAGACAGAUGUGAAAUACCCCGGGCCGUCAACCUGGGAACGUGCAUUUGUGACUGCAUGGCUAGAGUACGGUAGAGGGGGAUGGAAUUCCGCGUGUAGCAGUGAAAUGCGUAGAUAUGCGGAGGAACACCGAUGGCGAAGGCAAUCCCCUGGACCUGUACUGACGCUCAUGCACGAAAGCGUGGGGAGCAAACAGGAUUAGAUACCCUUGU
rnacentral:rRNA from 1 species